UUUGCCUGUAAGACUGGGAUAACUCCGGGAAACCGGAGCUAAUACCGGAUAGUUCCUUGAACCGCAUGGUUAAAGGAUGAAAGACGGUUUCGGCUGUCACUUACAGAUGGACCCGCGGCGCAUUAGCUAGUUGGUGGGGUAAUGGCUCACCAAGGCGACGAUGCGUAGCCGACCUGAGAGGGUGAUCGGCCACACUGGGACUGAGACACCCAGACUCCUAGUCACGGGAGGCAGCAGUAGGGAAUCUUCCGCAAUGGACGAAAGUCUGACGGAGCAACGCCGCGUGAGUGAUGAAGGUUUUCGGAUCGUAAAGCUCUGUUGUUAGGGAAGAACAAGUGCGAGAGUAACUGCUCGCACCUUGACGGUACCUAACCAGAAAGCCACGGCUAACUACGUGCCAGCAGCCGCGGUCGUAGGUGGCAAGCGUUGUCCGGAAUUAUUGGGCGUAAAGGGCUCGCAGGCGGUUUCUUAAGUCUGAUGUGAAAGCCCCCGGAACCGGGGAGGGUCAUUGGAAACUGGGAAACUUGAGUGCAGAAGAGGAGAGUGGAAUUCCACGUUGUAUGUAGCGGUGAAAUGCGUAGAGAUGUGGAGGAACACCAGUGGCGAAGGCGACUCUCUGGUCUGUAACUGACGCUGAGGAGCGAAAGCGUGGGGAGCGAACAGGAUUAGAUACCCUGGUAGUCCACGCCGUAAACGAUGAGUGCUAAGUGUUAGGGGGUUUCCGCCCCUUAGUGCUGCAGCUAACGCAUUAAGCACUCCGCCUGGAGUAACUGUACGGUCGCAAGACUGAAACUCAAAGGAAUUGACGGGGGCCCGCACAAGCGGUGGAGCAUGUGGAUUCGAAGCAACGCGAAGAACCUUACCAGGUCUUGACAUCCUCUGACAACCCUAGAGAUAGGGCUUUCCCUUCGGGGACGUGACAGGUGGUGCAUGGUUGUCGUCAGCUCGUGUCGUGAGAUGUUGGGUUAAGUCCCGCAACGAGCGCAACCCUUGAUCUUAGUUGCCAGCAUUCAGUGCACUCUAAGGUGACUGCCGGUGACAUUGUCAAACCGGAGGAAGGUGGGGAUGACGUCAAAUCAUCAUGCCCCUUAUGACCUGGGCUACACACGUGCUAUUGUCAACAAUGGACAGAACAAAGGGAGACCGCAAGGUUUAGCCAAUCCCAUAAAUCUGUUCUCAGUUCGGAUCGCAGUCUGCAACUUGACUGCGUGAAGCUAAUGUCGGACGCUAGUAAGGCU
rnacentral:rRNA from 1 species